UUUCUAAUUCCAAUGUAUGGUCUUCCAGAUCUCAAUAACAUAGAAAAAUAAAAUGCAUCCAUUCUACUUUUCAUUCUGGAUGCAUUUUAUUUUUCUAUGUUAUUGAGAUCUGGAAGACCAUACAUUGGAAUUAGAAA